UACGUAGGGUGCGAGCGUUAAUCGGAAUUACUGGGCGUAAAGCGUGCGCAGGCGGUUUGCUAAGACAGGUGUGAAAUCCCCGGGCUUAACCUGGGAACUGCGCUUGUAACUAGCAGGCUAGAGUGUGGCAGAGGGGGGUGGAAUUCCAGGUGUAGCAGUGAAAUGCGUAGAUAUCUGGAGGAACACCGAUGGCGAAGGCAGCCCCCUGGGCUAACACUGACGCUCAUGCACGAAAGCGUGGGGAGCAAACAGG
rnacentral:rRNA from 1 species